CAUUCAUUUUAAACAGUCACUUUCACCAGAAAUCCUUUAGUAGGUGUCCUACAUCACUUUUUUAUGGACAACCCACAGCCAAUCAGAAUCGAGUAUUCACCCAGACCAUGGUAUAAACAAGGGUAAAGAGGCCA